AAGAGACGUUGCCCUUCGGGGUAUACCUCCACCCUUUGUUUAUUAUACCUUUGUUGCUUUGGCGGGCCCGUCCUCGGACCACCGGCUUCUGCUGGUCAGGCCCGCCAGAGGACCUAAAACUCUGUUUGUUAAUAUUGUCUGAGUACUAUAUAAUAGUUA
rnacentral:misc_RNA from 1 species